rnacentral:hammerhead_ribozyme from 1 species
AUCCGGCUGAUGAGUCUCAAAUAGGACGAAACGUGUAUCCUAGAU